rnacentral:rRNA from 1 species
UACAUAGGGAGCAAGCGUUAUCCGGAAUUAUUGGGUUUAAAGGGUGCGUAGGCGGGCUGUUAAGUCAGCGGUCAAAUGUCGGGGCUCAACCCCGGCCUGCCGUUGAAACUGGCGGCCUCGAGUGGGCGAGAAGUAUGCGGAAUGCGUGGUGUAGCGGUGAAAUGCAUAGAUAUCACGCAGAACUCCGAUUGCGAAAGCAGCAUACCGGCGCCCGACUGACGCUGAGGCACGAAAGCGUGGGUAUCGAACAGG